CAGCAGCCGCGGUAAUGCGAAGGGGGCUAGCGUUGUUCGGAAUUACUGGGCGUAAAGCGCACGUAGGCGGAUAUUUAAGUCAGGGGUGAAAUCCCAGAGCUCAACUCUGGAACUGCCUUUGAUACUGGGUAUCUUGAGUAUGGAAGAGGUGAGUGGAAUUCCGAGUGUAGAGGUGAAAUUCGUAGAUAUUCGGAGGAACACCAGUGGCGAAGGCGGCUCACUGGUCCAUUACUGACGCUGAGGUGCGAAAGCGUGGGGAGCAAACAGGAUUAGAGACCCCUGUAGUCCCUGUCUCUUAUAC
rnacentral:rRNA from 1 species